UACGUAGGGUGCAAGCGUUGUCCGGAAUUACUGGGCGUAAAGGGCGCGUAGGCGGAUACUUAAGUUAGAGGUGAAAGCCCAGGGCUCAACCCUGGAACAGCCUUUAAUACUGGGUAUCUUGAGUUCGGGAGAGGUGAGUGGAACUCCGAGUGUAGAGGUGAAAUUCGUAGAUAUUCGGAAGAACACCAGUGGCGAAGGCGACUCACUGGCCCGAUACUGACGCUGAGGCGCGAAAGCGUGGGGAGCAAACAGG
rnacentral:rRNA from 1 species